GGUAAGGGUGAAAGGGUGCGGUAAGAGCGCACCGCACCUCUGGUAACAGAGUGUGGCAAGGUAAACUCCACCCGGAGCAAGACCAAAUAGGAUCCCUCAACGUGUGGCCCGCAUGGGGAUCGGGUAGGUUGCUUGAAUCAGUGAGCGAUUGCUGAUCUAGAGGAAUGGUUGCCCACGACAGAACCCGGCUUACGGCCAACUCCACUC
rnacentral:RNase_P_RNA from 1 species